UACGUAGGGUGCGAGCGUUAAUCGGAUUUACUGGGCGUAAAGCGUGCGCAGGCGGCCCGUUAAGACAGGUGUGAAAUCCCUGGGCUCAACCUAGGAAUUGCGCUUGUGACUGGCGGGCUCGAGUACGGUAGAGGGGGGUGGAAUUCCUGGUGUAGCAGUGAAAUGUGUAGAGAUCAGGAGGAACACCGAUGGCGAAGGCAGCCCCCUGGGCCUGUACUGACGCUCAUGCACGAAAGCGUGGGGAGCAAACAGG
rnacentral:rRNA from 1 species